rnacentral:lncRNA from 1 species
GACUACCUUAGUAAUUUCCUAUCCCCCAAACUACAAAUAUCCCUACCUAUAUGCUUCCUUACAGGAGGAUAGCAGCCGGGCAAUAUACAGAUGAUCCUGGAGAAACCUACCUCCUCAGACUCCAGAACCAUCUACGUGUGUAUCAGUAUUCCAAAUACUUCAGCUCCUCAAACCCUCUAAAGCAAAGUCAUAGGCUGCCUCUGGAGUCCAGAUGUGAGGAGACUCAUCACAUUCAAGGACUUUCCAGUGAUGGUAAUGCCCCCAUGGAGUCCUGGAACAUCAAACAUGAGAAUUUGAGGACUCAGUCAUAAUGCCAGCUUGGGAAUUCUGACCUCCUGGAGCCCGGAGACAUCCAYAGGAUGGGGACAGCACCUUGUUAAGUAGACCCAGAAAUUGACAGUAGGAAGAAGAAGGGAACCAGGUCUGUGGGUAAUGCAGCCAGGCAGUAGAUCCAAAAUGUCCUACAGGUGAGUGACCCCAUAGGUGAUGCAUCACCAGGUGUCCUUUAAAUGUAUAACAUAGGGCAAGUUGAUAGAAAGGGUCAGCAAGGCACAUGCAUAGAAUGAAGUCCAG